GCAUUGUCGGUGGUCAUCACGGGGUUCACACCUCCAGGCGCCGGGGAGCUGGCAACUUUGAGGCAUUCCCAAGAAAACUGCCCAGAGUGUUUCACGAGAGGAGUCAGCCCGCUUAGGACUAGUUACGGGACCCGAGCCCUCCUCCUUUCAGACCGUGGUAUGUGUGAUCCAUACUCCACCAUCGCGGUACCCUCCCCCUCCUUAAGCAUCCUAAAGAAAAACACCGCAUCCUGCACUUGUGAUAUUCAGAGCCCUCGGAACCAGAGGAAUCUGCAGCCACGCAUACCGGGUGACCUGAAGUCUGGAGAGAUAUAAUUCAUGCUCAGAGUCUGAAGAUUUACAUUUGGGCAGAGCCCCAGCUGACUAUUUCUAUGGUUAUUAUUGUCUCUUACCAAUGAUCUUUACAAAGAAGACCCUUCACUUAAAGAACUAUUAUGGAAGGAGGGUAAGAUAUUCUAGAAGUCUCUCAAAAUUAGGAAAACACCGUCAGGAUACAUAUGAAAUGUUCCUUUCCCCUCUGAACAGGAAACGUUUUUGCUAAGCCAAUAAUGCACUAAAAAUAUCACGGGGUAAAUACUUGACUCAUUAAAUUGAACUUACCAGUCUUGGAUGAGCUCUGACCACACGCACUGCUCCGCGCCUGAGACGCUGGCCCGCAGGACGGUUCUUUCUCGUCUUCUCUCUUGGUCGGCUCUCCCGAAAUGAGCGCCUCCACUCGCAGUCUGGCCGCCCCUCUCUGCCUACCUCCGCCUCAGACCUGGACCCCGGGUUUGAUCUGUAGAUCUCCUGCCUACCUGGGGUCCUCCUUCUCUGUAUCUUCCCACGUGGUAACGGGUUUAAACUGAACGCACCUGACUCUCCAGAUCCCACUUUACCCUGUUGUUCCCACAGUGCUUUAGGGCCUUGAUGUUUUAUUCUAGCCACCUAGAACUUUCUAUCCUCCUGGUCUUUGCAUAUUGACCUCCUGCAUUGCAUUUAAACACAAGUGCAAUACUGAGAGGGCUUACUAAGCACCUGCUGCUGCGCCUCCCCUCGACACACAGGCUGCCAACGACUGUCACUACCUGUUGGGUUCAUCAGCGCGCGCUUUAAAGUUGACAGAACGUAAAGACUGCUAACUCUGGGAAACGAACUAGGGGUGGUAGAAGGGGAGGAGGGCAGGGGGUGGGAGUGAAUGGGUGACGGGCACUGGGUGUUAUUCUGUAUGUUAGUAAAUUGAACACCAAUAAAAAAAUAAAAUUAAAAAAAAAAAUAAAGUUG
rnacentral:lncRNA from 12 species